UCAAAAGCAGGGUAAUUUGAUUGCCUGUGAUAAAAAGCCUGGAGAGGGUCAGAGACAACAGGUAUAGGUACUGAAAACAGGAGGUGAAGUCAGGGAUGCUGAUGGAAGAGAAUGUUGGCGGCCCUUGCUGAAGUGAUACUCACCCCAUUGCGGAGCAUGUAGUAAUCCAAAGCUUUCCCGGCCUCCAGCCAUAUACCUUUUUUGGGGUCAUCAUCUGACAGGAAUAGCCCAAAGUCGCUGGCUGAAAGAGAGGUUGGAUUCCCUCAGACUCACGAGGACCCCAGUGUGGCUGAACAGCUGCUCUGUUGCCCCUUACUAUUUCCCCAGGGCCUGAGGGCCUAAAGGGGAGAGAGGGAACCAUGGAGCACAGGCCUGAGGGAUGUGUAGCCUUGAGGGACAACGGGGUCAUCCCUUAAAGCCAAGAGCCUGGGAACAAGGGACUUUCCCCCACCUGCCACCGGGGUACUCAGACUUACGAGGGCCAGCCAGGGCCUCUGGGAUGCGCUCACGAAUGAUGCGACAGGCAUCAUACACCAUGGUGGAUGGCUCAAACUGCAUGGUCUUCACCACAUUCCCAAUGCUGAUCUUCAGCGAAAGUGCAACCAUGGUGGCAGCUUCUCUUCUCCAGCCUGGCUAUACCUGGCCCGUGGGGUCAGGGCAUUAAAACAUAUCCUCAGUAGAGGAGAGGAGGUCCCCAAGAUGGAGCCCCAGGGAGAGGUGUUUUUGAGAGGGACUUACCAGAGCAAAUAGUAACGUAGUUGUUUUAUUUCAGAAUUUUAAAGAGUGAAAGAUUAUGUACACCUAAAGAACCAAUCCUAACCACCUAAGAUAUGUGAAGGAGUCUGGUCUGCAAUGCAGUGUUCCCUGAGGACACCAUUUUGUCCCUACCACUAGAAUGUGUGCCUCCCUUCUUUCUGCCAAGUGUCUCUCUCUCUCUUGCUCCUUACCCUGCUCCUUUUCUAGCCCUGUCUCAGCCUUGUUUUUAUUUUUUCUUGGUUCAGUCUUUUUCUCUUUUUGUCUCUAACUAGGUCUUGCUUUUUCCUGUCUGGGAUUUUCAGAGCUCUGCCCUGACUCAUCAUGUGACCUUCCCUCUGACAGCUUUAGCCUCCUUCUCUGCAAAAUGAAGACGUUAUAUUAGGUAAUUCCCAAGAGAUCCUGAAGCCUGCAAACGAAGCCUGCAAACACCGACUCUAGCUAGCCUAGCAGGGAGACCAAACAGCCUACUCUCACCCCCUGCUUUCCUCUAACUAGAGAGGGAAGGGCUUUCCCAAGGAGCCUGGCCCCAUAUUUGGCUUCCCUGGCAGUCAAGCUAGAAUGAUGAUUCUCUAAUCCAGAGGGAUCUCAGCUCUUCAGUUUUGCAGAAUGGAUAUCAGAGACCAUGGUGGGGUAGGUGGGGGAGUUUCAAGGCAGGUCAGAUGAAGAGCCCAGUCCCUCUAACUUGGUCCUUGCUCCAAGUCACCAAGCGAAUACCCAGCCUGCCCUCACAACAACUCCUCACAAGUUCUCCCAUCUUCAGUAAGUCCUUCUCAAGUCCGUCCCGCUGUCUCACUUGCUGGUGUUUUCAGUGCAGCUCAAGAUACCCACCACACCCUGACUUCCCUGUCCCUCCUUGGCACCACCUCUCAGUAGGCUGGAGGCGCCCUUCCUGGCAGGUGGCAGAUGGCACCCAGGGCAUGAGAGGACAAGUCUGCCUGGCAGCUGAUGAUGUGACCCAGUUUGGUACAGAGAUUGGUUCCUUUCAACUAAGAGAAUGAACAAACCUGGGCCACCCACCCCCUCCCAGUAGGCUGCCAGCCCCAAGGGGGGAACGCAGGACCAGGGGUAGGCUGGAACAGGUGGGGGUGCUGGGGUACAGGGGCUGGCUGAGAGCCAGGGAAGUUGGGAAGGGAUAGGUUUUUGGAGGGUGAAGAGGUUAGGAAGGGUGAGGUGGAGGAGACUGAAAAUCCAGAGACAGGAGGCGGGCCUGUGUGGGAGAGGUACGGGUCAGGGAUGCGCUAGACCGCUUCUGACCUUAGAAACAGUCCAGAGUCUCCCAAGAAACCAUGGCUCACUCUCUUAUUUCCAAACAAAUGAGGACUCUUCCAGUCUCCCCAGCUCUCUGCCCACCUCCCCAUUUCUCGGUCACCUCUCCCAGUAGCUUGACAGACCUGGCUGUGAGGCUGCUGGAGGGCUGGAAGGUCAGCGAAGUGGAGGAGUCAGAGAUGUUGAGGGCAGCACUGAAAGGAUCCUCCACUCUAAGCUGAAAGCCUCCCCCAUUUCCUCCGGACAUAUGGACACCCCCUUCUUCAAGCACGGAAACCUCUGAUUAAGAAACUGAGGUGCAAAGAUGUUAAAUACUCAUUCAAGGAUCUUCUCCAAAGUCAUACAGCUAAUAAGUUGUGAAGCCAGGAUUGGAACCCAUGUCUCUCUGAUUCCAAAGCCCAAGUUGUCUCCACUAUCCCAGUAGGAGGGACCAGGGCCAAAGUCAGAGUGGAGUCCCACAGCCUGUCAUCAGUAGCCACUUGGUGGCCAGGGUGGCUUGAGUUUAGGUAAGGAAUUGGGAAGGGGGGAAGGAAAGGAUUGGGUUGAGCUGGGUAUAUGAAGAUGAGGCUCCGGGGCACAGAAGAUGGGGAUGUGAUUGGUUAACACCAGGUAGGGGCAAAAGUGAUGAGGUUAGUGACUGUAUCUAGUCUGCCAAGGUGUAGAGAAAGGCUGGAGAAGAUGGUGGUAGGAAAAAUACGUAUAUGAUCAGCCACUGGAUCAGGAUAGGGAAAUAAUUAUAAGUCAGAAUGACAGAGUGAGGUCAGAGGUUAGAUUAGGUUUCAGGAGGCUGAGAUGAGAUGGGGCAGUGGUCAGUGACUAAAUAAGGCUGGGAUGGGGUAGUGGGGAGAGUGAAGGGACACUGGCAGUGUAUAAGCA